rnacentral:rRNA from 1 species
UACGAAGGGGGCUAGCGUUGUUCGGAAUCAUUGGGCGUAAAGGGUGCGUAGGCGGUCGCGCAAGUCGGAUGUGAAAUCUCAGGGCUCAACCCUGAAACUGCAUUCGAUACUGCGUGGCUAGAGUGCUGGAGGGGAGACUGGAAUUUACGGUGUAGCAGUGAAAUGCGUAGAUAUCGUAAGGAAGACCAGUGGCGAAGGCGAGUCUCUGGACAGCAACUGACGCUGAGGCACGAAGGCCAGGGGAGCAAACGGG